GAUAUACUCCCUCCGUCCGGAAAUACUUGCCAUAGGAAUGGAUGUAUCUAGAUGUAUUUCAGUUCUAGAUACAUCCAUUUUUUAUACAUUUAUGCGACAAGUAAUUCCGGAGAGAUGGAGUACUAU
rfam:Hordeum vulgare subsp. vulgare, WGS project CAJW01000000 data, contig: morex_contig_1564785